UGCCAACUUCCAACUGCUGCCUCCCAGCCCUCUGCGCCCCUUUUAUAUAGAAGCCGGUCCGCCCCGCCCAUGCGCAUGCGUAACGGAGUCCCCAUCGCAGGAAGCUGGGAGUCGUAGUUCCCCUCUUUCAGGCCCGCCGUCCUCCCGCGCCGUGCGACGUAGCCAAUCCCAGAACGCGUAGGGGGCGUCUUCCAGGUGGCCUCCUUCCAUCGCUGAUCCCUCGCUUCAGAAACGUGAGCGGCCAUUGGUCAAGAGGCACACGUCUCGCCGAGGAAGGAAGACCAAUCGCAGAGAAGAUGGGGCGGGUUCUGGGCCGUACCAUUCUGCUUCAGGAAUAGGAGAAGAUUCGAUGGCCUGUGAGGGCCUAUACAGAAUAUUUUUAUCAAAAGGAAUGGCUUCAAGGUUUGUGGCUAGUGACUAGGAUUGGCAUUUGCGGAAGGAUAUUGUGAACACAUUUUGGAAAAAGCGCAUGAAGAAGUAAACAAAUGAAGAAUAAAAAGUGCCGCCUUAAAGGGGCAGUGUGACUGCGUUAGAGCAGCAACCUCGGACUAGGCCUCCGAAGAUGAGAAGGCAGGUUCGAGUCCCGGGUGACGUCCACUUUCGGACUGGCCUCGGGACCCUUGGGCGAAAGUGGUCGAGUCCCAGCCCCAGCUUCGUCUUUCACGGCUGCCGCCGCCCCAGGAGCCAGUGCAAAAUGGUGGGCCGUGACAGCCUCUCGCCUGGGCCGGGGAAGCACCGGGUGUGCGUGCCGUCUUCCCAGGAGAUCCCGGGCGGAGGAAGACUUCGCCCCUCUUCCUCCUCCCCGGGCCUCAGCGUCUAGCGAAGAAAAUGGCUCCUUGGGGCUGACUCGGUCUCCGCUUGGGAACCGACCAGGAGAAUUUCCUGAGCCCAGACGGGGAGUCCGGGUCAGCUGAUGAGCCUCUUUGUUGUGGGAGGGGUUCGGAAUUAAUAAUGAGUUAAAAUAAUCAGCCCUGGCUAGUGGAGAGGGAAGGGGGAAUCAUCCAUAGAGGCCUCAUCAGCGGGCCCUGGGCAACACCAGAGGGAAGCAGAGCCAGUCGCUUCCCCAAGGAGGAAGACUUGCCCAGAAAUGGGGGCAGGGAGAUUCUGGCCCAGAACUGUGGCGUAGAUUCCUGGGGGUGGGGGAGACACACACACAUAUUCUCCGUGUGAAAAUUCUGUGUUUUCCAAGCUCCCACCCAAAGGACAAGGCUCAGGAGUAGCCUAAACCCUCCGUCCAAAUCACUUAGGCCUAAAAUCCAGUAAUCUGUUACUCCCAUUUGCCACACACCCAGUGGCCCAUUCUUACUAUUCCAUCCUCAAUAGCAAUGUCUUCCGUUCCAACCGCUUUCCACCGUACUACGUUGUUUUACACACAGAACCGUUUGCCCCACCACAGCCCAGUGAGUUAGGCAGGAUAGGGAUUAUUGUCUCCAUUUUAGAGAUAAGAAAUCUUUAAGGGUCAGAAAUUAAGUGACUUGUCCAAGGUCACAUGACAACUAAGUGGCAAUUCUGGCUACAGCAAAGGCUUUUGUGACCUGUUCCAUUUUUCUUUCUAGCAAUUCCCUUUUUUUCAUAAGAACUCUGGAUUUAGUUCCUUUUCUUCCUUAACAGCUUCAGCCAACUUAAGGCCCUUAUUUAUUCAUUCAGCAAACAUUCGAUAGGAGGGCACUGUGAUGAAUAAAAUGCCAUCCUUGCUGCUCAGGGACUGUGUGGAGAAUCCAUCAAACCACAGUGAGCCAAAAUGGCCAGUAAAGAAAAUCCUGGUAGGAGCCAAGCUGCUUAGAAGUUGAGAAUUGUGGACAUGUUUCAUGGGGGAUGUGGCUUCUUGGCUGUUUCUGAAAGAUGAAGCAUCAGGCAGAGUGGCAUGAAGUACGGCAUUCAAUAAAGAGCAAGCAUCUUCGGAACCCAAGCAGCCUGCAGCAUCCCGCGCCCCCAGAGGCUGGUUGCAUCUUGACGAGGCCCCACCCCCCACAAAGCCUCGCCUCUACUCUUCAGUUCGGGGUGGGGAUGGGACAAGGCUCUUGCCACCCUUGGCCUUCCAGAAAGUUCUCUGAGAAAGCCUGAACGCAGAGGCCACGGGAAGGAGGCACCAGGAGCGAGCAGCUGAGGAGGGGGAUACGGGCAGUGGGCACCUCCAGGACCGAGGUCUCGGGCCCCAACCCUACGCACCGCGUGCCGAGCAGGUAGCAGUCGCCUUUCCCUUCCCGCAAGGACCAAGCCUAGGCCCUGGCUCCGCCUGGCUUCUCUUCCCCAACCCCCAGCUCGC